rnacentral:rRNA from 1 species
GUAACGUCUGCUGCAAUAGAGCAUAAACCACGACGAGGGAAAACAGUGCUCAUGUAACUAACUCUGUUUUCCUGCCUAAAUAGCAGGGAGAAAGCCCUCGGUAAGACGGGUGCCAGCCGCCGCGGUAAUACCCGCAGCCCGAGGGGUGAUCGAAAAUUGGGGAAAAGCGCCCGUAGCCGGCUCAGUAAAUCCUUGGGUAAAUCGGGCAGCUUAACUGUCCGACUUCCGGGGAGACUGCUUACCUUGGGACUGGGAGAGGUCGGAGGUACUCCGGGGGUAGAGGUGAAAUUCUGUAAUCCCCGGGGGACCACCAGGGGCGAAGGCGUCCGAUUUGAACGGGUCCGACGGUGAGGGACGAAGCCCUGUUUGUACAAACCGGAUUAGAUACCCGGGUAGUCCAGGGUGUAAACGCUGCGGGCUUGCUGUUGGGGGUCCUACGUGGGCGCUCAGUGCCGGAGAGAAUUUGUUAAGCCCCCCCCUUGGGGAGUACGGCCCCAAGACUGAAACUUAAAGGAAUUGGCGGGGGAAAGGGCGAAUUCUUUUAAACCUGCGGGACUAGUCCCUUUAGUGGGGUUAAUUCUGGGCUGGGCGAAAUCAUGGCCAUAGCUGUUUCUGAG